rnacentral:rRNA from 1 species
AGUGAACGCUGGCGGUAGGCCUAACACAUGCAAGUCGAACGGCAGCACAGUAAGAGCUUGCUCUUACGGGUGGCGAGUGGCGGACGGGUGAGGAAUACAUCGGAAUCUACUUUUUCGUGGGGGAUAACGUAGGGAAACUUACGCUAAUACCGCAUACGACCUACGGGUGAAAGCAGGGGAUCUUCGGACCUUGCGCGAUUGAAUGAGCCGAUGUCGGAUUAGCUAGUUGGCGGGGUAAAGGCCCACCAAGGCGACGAUCCGUAGCUGGUCUGAGAGGAUGACCAGCCACACUGGAUCUGAGCCACGGUCCAGCCUCUUACGGGAGGCAGCAGUGGGGAAUAUUGGACAAUGGGCGCAAGCCUGAUCCAGCCCUACCGCGUGGGUGCAGAAGGCCUUCGGGUUGUAAAGCCCUUUUGUUGGGAAAGAAAAGCAGCAGGUUAAUACCCCGCUGUUCUGACGGUACCCAAAGAAUAAGCACCGGCUAACUUCGUG